GUAAUCCGAUCAGGGUUAUCACUGAAUCCCAACUAGGAGGCUAUUUGAGCGCUAUCCUGGAAAGCCUUAUCCCUAAACUUGCAGAAACCCCAAUUGCAUCUGUCCCGCGUCCUUCCAUUCGAUUCCAAGUGCUUCUAUUUGCAGUGAGCAUUUCUUAAAAUUGUAGAGGCAAUGGGUGUCCGAGCUAGGAAUGGUAAUGAUCGUCUGAGAACCAUAUGGACACCUGAAAUGGAUAGAUUCUUCAUUAGUCUUCUGUUAGAGCAGGUCAGCAAAGGGAAUAAGUUUGAUGAUCAUUUAUUCAGUAAACGGGCAUGGAAGCAUAUGACUUCAUUGUUUAAUGCCAAGUUCAGAUUUCAGUAUGAAAAGGAUGUUCUGAAAAAUCGGCACAAAACGUUGAGGAAUUUAUUCAAGGCUGUAAAGAAGCUCCUUGAUCAGAGGGGGUUCAGCUGGGAUGAAAAUCGGCAAAUGGUGACAGCUGAUAAUAGUGUUUGGGAUGAACAUAUCAAGGUGAAAAGGCUUCACUUGUCAUUAAUUUAAAGAUUUUUCUAUGUAUUGGUAUUGGUAAGUCUAAUGGGUUAUUGUUGCAGAUACAUCCUGAUGCGCGUGCAUAUAGGAUAAAAACUAUCCCAUAUUAUAAAGAUUUGUGCUUGAUAUAUGGAGACACUAACAUUGAAGAAAAAGGUGACAAUGUGCCAGAGUCACUGCCAGAUUCAGCUGGUAAUGAAAUCAUCAACACCGAUCAAGUAAAGAGUGUUUCUGAGGGAGCUCCAGGGACUUUUCAUGAAAUUACAGUUGAUGAAAAUUACAGUAUCUCUGUAUCAAAUGUGGUUAUUGAUGAUUCUGCAUCAAAGGACUCAUUAGAUGAUGUGCAUCAGGCUACAGGGUAUGGAACAGGAAGCACAGGAAGCAACCGUACUAGGACAUAUUGGCAACCGCCAAUGGAUCGCUAUUUCAUUGACCUUAUGCUGGAACAUAUGCGGAAAGGGAAUCAGAUUGAUGGUGUAUUCCGAAAACAAGCAUGGAUGGAUAUGAUUACAUCCUUUAAUGCUAAGUUUGGCUUUAACUAUGAUGUGGAUGUUCUGAAAAAUCGCUACAAAACUCUGAGAAGGUUCUUUAUAACAUUAUACUGCCUUCUCAGAGUUUUGUAGC
rnacentral:misc_RNA from 1 species